GAUGAAGAACGUAGUGAAACGCGAAAGGUAAUGCGAAUUGCAGAAUCAGUGAGUCAUCGAAUCUUUGAACGCACAUUGCGCCCCCUGGUAUUCCGGGGGGCAUGCCUGUCCGAGCGUCAUUGCUGCCCUCAAGCACGGCUUGUGUGUUGGGCCUCCGUCCUCCUCCCGGGGGACGGGCCCGAAAGGCAGCGGCGGCACCGCGUCCGGUCCUCGAGCGUAUGGGGCUUCGUCACCCGCUCUUGUAGGCCCGGCCGGCGCUUGCCGACACAUCAAUCUUUUUUCCAGGUUGACCUCGGAUCAGGUAGGGAUACCCGCUGAACUUAAGCAUAUCAAUAAGCGGAGGA
rnacentral:misc_RNA from 1 species